GUAGGUGGCAAGCGUUGUCCGGAAUUAUUGGGCGUAAAGCGCGCGCAGGGCGGUUCUUUAAGUCUGAUGUGAAAGCCCACGGCUCAACCGUGGAGGGUCAUUGGAAACUGGAGAACUUGAGUACAGAAGAGGAAAGCGGAAUUCCACGUGUAGCGGUGAAAUGCGUAGAGAUGUGGAGGAACACCGGUGGCGAAGGCGGCUUUCUGGUCUGUAACUGACGCUGAGGCGCGAAAGCGUGGGGAGCAAACAGGAUUAGAUACCCUGGUAGUCCACGCCGUAAACGAUGAGUGCUAAGUGUUAGGGGGUUUCCGCCCCUUAGUGCUGCAGCUAACGCAUUAAGCACUCCGCCUGGGGAGUACGGCCGCAAGGCUG
rnacentral:rRNA from 1 species